rnacentral:rRNA from 1 species
AAACUCCAUGUGUAGCGGUGAAAUGCGUAGAUAUAUGGAAGAACACCAGUGGCGAAGGCGGCUGUCUGGUCUGUAACUGACGCUGAGGCUCGAAAGUAUGGGUAGCAAACAGGAUUAGAUACCCUGGUAGUCCAUACCGUAAACGAUGAAUGCUAAGUGUUGGAGGGUUUCCCCCUUCAGUGCUGCAGCUAACGCAUUAAGCAUUCCGCCUGGGGAGUACGGCCGCAAGGCUGAAACUCAAAGGAAUUGACGGGGGCCCGCACAAGCGGUGGAGCAUGUGGUUUAAUUCGAAGCUACGCGAAGAACCUUACCAGGUCUUGACAUACUAUGCAAAUCUAAGAGAUUAGACGUUCCCUUCGGGGACAUGGAUACAGGUGGUGCAUGGUUGUCGUCAGCUCGUGUCGUGAGAUGUUGGGUUAAGUCCCGCAACGAGCGCAACCCUUAUUAUCAGUUGCCAGCAUUAAGUUGGGCACUCUGGUGAGACUGCCGGUGACAAACCGGAGGAAGGUGGGGAUGGCGUCAAAUCAUCAUGCCCCUUAUGACCUGGGCUACACACGUGCUACAAUGGAUGGUACAACGAGUUGCGAACUCGCGAGAGUAAGCUAAUCUCUUAAAGCCAUUCUCAGUUCGGAUUGUAGGCUGCAACUCGCCUACAUGAAGUCGGAAUCGCUAGUAAUCGCGGAUCAGCAUGCCGCGGUGAAUACGUUCCCGGGCCUUGUACACACCGCCCGUCACACCAUGAGAGUUUGUAACACCCAAAGUCGGUGGGGUAACCUUUAGGAACCAGCCGCCUAAGGUGGGACAGAUGAUUAGGGUGAAGUCGUAACAAGGUAACCA